UCGAUUCCCCGACGGGGAGCCA
rnacentral:ncRNA from 3 species